rnacentral:rRNA from 1 species
AUUGAACGCUGGCGGCAGGCUUAACACAUGCAAGUCGAACGAGUGGCGGACGGGUGAGUAAUGCGUGGGAAUCUUGCUGAUGGAGGGGGAUAACUACGGGCAACUGUAGCUAAUACCGCGUACCAUAGGAUGAGCCCAAGUGGGAUUAGGUCGUUGGUGGGGUAAAGGCUCACCAAGCCGACGAUCACUAGCUGGUCUGAGAGGAUGACCAGCCACACUGGGACUGAGACACGGCACAGACUCCUACGGGAGGCAGCAGUGGGGAAUAUUGCGCAAUGGGGGCAACCUGACGCAGCCAUGCCGCGUGAAUGAAGAAGGCCUUCGGGUUGUAAAGUUCUUUCGGUAGCGAGGCGUUACCUACAGAAGAAGCACCGGCUAACUCCGUGCCAGCAGCCGCGGUAAUAC